rnacentral:ribozyme from 1 species
AAAAAAAUGCAAAUGCGAUACGCGAUUUUUUUUUUUUUUUUUUUUUUGAGCGUGGACACCAAAAUUUAUAGAAAAAGAAA